CACUCGGACGCUUGACCCGCGCGUCCCCGGACGCGGGUAAGCGGCGACACUUUCGUCCCCAGUCCUGCUGUCUCCCAUACCUAGCGAUGCGUUGUAGUCCCUCUGCGCUUUUUAGCUGACCCCUCGCUUGCGAGCUCGCUGACCCUGAACGACCCUCAGGCGCUACGCACCGGAAGUGCUUGGCCCUCUUCGCGGCUGUCUCCCGGAAGUGGUUUUCCGCCUUUUCUCCCCCUUCCCCUUUAGGGGCGGUCCUGCUGGCCCAAAGGGUGGGGGCCACGGGCGGCGUUGUGGCCGGACGCCUGGCUGCUCUUCAGCGCCCCUCUCUACUUGUUCCGUAGGCAUUGUUGGAAAGGCCGGACUGUGGCUUGGCGCAGCGUGCACAGCCUCAGGCUCCUUAGGCUUUGUGACCUUGCGCGGGUUGCCUCACCCCCGUGAACUACUCCGCUGACAAACCUGCAAAGUGAGAUGCUGACGUGCAAGCUGGUGCUAAACCGUAAAGCUCGUGCCCCUCCCGCACCGGCCUUCAACAGACGGCCUCUGUUUCGUUUGCUGGCUCCGGAUAGACUUGAGACCUGGUGGCCAAGCCGCUGGCAUCCCCUGAGAGCCAGCUUCUGUGUCUAAUCUGAGAAUAAGCGAGGCUGGAAUUCCUGGUGGAAGGUUCUCCAGGUUCCCUUUGUCGAAGGACAGAUUUACCCUGACCGCAGCUACUAUAGGAGAAUCUGAAACAUGUGCCAGUGUCUUGGCCCGAAAGUGAAGGGUGGGGGGGGGGGCUCCCCAAAUGGCCUUCACGUUGGGCUUUUUCUUCCUCCGGCACUGGGGAUGCCAGGACCUGAGCCCACAGCGCUAGCUGGAAGCCAGAGCCCCGGAGGUGAUGAGUGCGCAGACUUUGGUGUUCGUGCUCCUAAAUAGCCUUCUGAGAGCGAGCGGGGGUCCUGAAGACACCCUAACGUCUAAGCCUAGUGCGACUCCGUUAGGUGAGGAGGUUUUCACUGCCCUUAGAGUUUCGGGAAGGGAAGGUGAAGUGUACGUCGAGGAAAUCGGGGAGGACGAGCUCUCCCUUCUUUCUUCCUUGCACCGCCCCGUAAGCGUGGUGGAGGGUGGUCCUGCCAGGAGAGCAUCCUCCCGGAAGCGUCCUAGGAAGGAAGGCUCCCGGGCCUCCUAUGGGGUGUCCUGAAGCAGCGUCUGCCUUUUAAGAGCCCCCUGCUCCCCCCCUCCCCCCAUGGCUAUGCACCCUGAAGCUUGUGCAACCCUGGUGUAGCUGGUGGGGUGAUCUGGCCCCAGGUGACGUGGUAGCAUUGCCAGUUCCCGGAGAGACAAAGUCCCCAGAGCCAGAGGCUGGGGCGGCGGUGAUACGGCCACUCUUGCCUGUGUGUGAGCACUGUCGGCAGGUUGAUUCAGAGCGCGCUGAAAACUCGGUCACUGGGCAGCCUGGGUGAGCAGCAUGACCACGGGAGCCUUCGCUUAAAGGAAACCUGAGAUCCCACGCUGUUACCACACCUGCUGGUGCACGUGGCCGGAUGUGGGAGCCCCUCAGUUGGGAAGUUUACGUUGCCUCAGUCCCAGCAGACGGCACUAAGGAUAGCUGUUCUUCUGGUGGAGAGAACCUAUGAUUGGUCAGCUAUACAUCUGGAUCCGUCUCUGGUCCAACCACUGAUCACUGAUGAGGCUCUUCAGCAGUUCGAACAAGAGAGGCCAGGCAGCCAAGGCGUACUGAGCGUGUGUCGUGCCCUCGGGGAUUUAUACAUCUGUAGAAUAUUACCACCGAAGGCAAGUGAAGACAUGAUCUCCAAACCCAGCUUUUUCAGGUAUCCUGGCAUCGGCGGAGUUCUCUUCCCCUCGUCUUUGGGAAGUUUCGCAAGCUGGGCCCCUCCUGUGUGUAGCCAACAAUGAUGUUUUGUGUCUUCAUCCCGUUUGAAGGGCCUGGCACACAAACAGCCCAGCCUAUUCAUUCCUAGAGCCAUUUUACAUAUGCAAGACCGAAGCCAAGAUUAAUGUCUUCAUCCUCGACGUGCUCAUUCA